rnacentral:lncRNA from 1 species
GGUGGGGGGGGGGGCCGGGCCCCUCCUAGGUCAGAGCCUAGGCCUGCUUUCUUCUUGAUGGGGAUCAGCC